UACGUAGGGUGCAAGCGUUAAUCGGAAUACUGGGCGUAAAGCGUGCGCAGGCGGUUAUGCAAGACAGAUGUGAAAUCCCCGGGCUUAACCUGGGAACCGCAUUUGUGACUGCAUAGCUGGAGUACGGCAGAGGGGGAUGGAAUUCCGCGUGUAGCAGUGAAAUGCGUAGAUAUGCGGAGGAACACCGAUGGCGAAGGCAGUCCCCUGGGCCUGUACUGACGCUCAUGCACGAAAGCGUGGGGAGCAAACAGG
rnacentral:rRNA from 1 species